CCUACGGGGGGCUGCAGUAGGGAAUAUUGCGCAAUGGGGGAAACCCUGACGCAGCAACGCCGCGUGAGUGAGGAAGGUCUUCGGAUUGUAAAACUCUUUUCUUAGGGAAAAAUGAUUUAGCGGUUAAUACCCGUUAGAAGUGAUGGUACCUAAGGAAUAAGCACCGGCUAACUUCGUGCCAGCAGCCGCGGUAAUACGAAGGGUGCAAGCGUUGUUCGGAAUCAUUGGGCGUAAAGCGCGCGCAGGCGGAUUUGCAAGUCAGAUGUGAAAUCUCG
rnacentral:rRNA from 1 species